rnacentral:tRNA from 1 species
GGGUGAGUGUCCGAGCGGUCUAAGGAGUUGGUUUUGAAAACCAAUUUGGUAACAUUCGUGGGUUCAAAUCCUACCUCACCCG